UGUGGUGUACAACUAAGUGUUAGGGCGUGAUGUUACUCUGAGCUGGUACCCAGUUACCCUUUGGGGUCGCUAGGGUUGACAGAUCCCCUAGCUUACACUCAUAUUGUACACCCGCAAAACGCCAAUACAUGGGGUUAAAAAUCUAUAUUUUACAGCUGCCGUAUAUACCCUCUUGGGGCAUAUAUAUAUAGGCAGUUAAUUUUAGUCCUGAUCCCUAAUCAAUACUAAAAAAAUGUAUAAAUAUGUAUUUAAUUGUACCGUUAUUAUUUUCAGGGCUAUUAAGUGAAUGAGGUAAUGGUUGGAAGAAGAGGCAUCGCUUGAAAGGAGCCUACUGGUGAUGUAGGAAUGUGGAGACUACCGUUGUGAUGGGACUAGUGGUGGACCGAUGAAACAAGUCUUAGACGAUGCCGAGCAGAAGGUAAUACCGGACCGAUUGGCAGGACCCCUGGGCUGUCUGGAAGGUGAACAGUGAGACGCUUCAACUUCAUUAUUCGUGAACACUUGGCAGACGGACUACGGAAGGCGCAGAAGGUACACCAUUGAUGAACAAGGAAAAGGGAUGGAGCCCGAGGGCAGAGUACUGCACCCAUGAGGUCGACACACACACCUAGUUACAGCGGGCGGCCGGCGCGUUCGGCCUUCAGGAUUGGGGGUGCUCCGCCGGAACCCCCAAAGUGAUAAGCGUGCAGAUAGCUAAGAAAUAUUGCCAUGAAUUGUAAUUAGUGUAAUUAAAUGAAUGCAAGUUUCAUUUACUAGCUAUAGAUGUAGUUAUUAAUUGUAAUUGAAUGAUACUUUAUAAUUAAUGAAUAUUCCUUCUAAUUAUUCCUUAAUACUUUGUUAUGCACUAAAUAAUUAUUUAUCAUUCAUCCUAAUUAGCUAUUUGAGCGAUU